UACGUAGGGUCCGAGCGUUGUCCGGAAUUACUGGGCGUAAAGAGCUCGUAGGUGGUUUGUCGCGUUGUUCGUGAAAACUCACAGCUUAACUGUGGGCGUGCGGGCGAUACGGGCAGACUAGAGUACUGCAGGGGAGACUGGAAUUCCUGGUGUAGCGGUGGAAUGCGCAGAUAUCAGGAGGAACACCGGUGGCGAAGGCGGGUCUCUGGGCCGUAACUGACGCUGAGGAGCGAAAGCGUGGGGAGCGAACAGG
rnacentral:rRNA from 1 species